rnacentral:rRNA from 1 species
ACCCGCUGAACUUAAGCAUAUCAAUAAGCGGAGGAAAAGAAACCAACAGGGAUUGCCCUAGUAACGGCGAGUGAAGCGGCAACAGCUCAAAUUUGAAAUCUGGCGUCUUUGGCGUCCGAGUUGUAAUUUGCAGAGGGCGCUUUGGCAUUGGCAGCGGUCCAAGUCCCUUGGAACAGGACGUCACAGAGGGUGAGAAUCCCGUACGUGGUCGCUAGCCUUUACCGUGUAAAGCCCCUUCGACGAGUCGAGUUGUUUGGGAAUGCAGCUCUAAAUGGGAGGUAAAUUUCUUCUAAAGCUAAAUACUGGCCAGAGACCGAUAGCGCACAAGUAGAGUGAUCGAAAGAUGAAAAGCACUUUGGAAAGAGAGUUAAAAAGCACGUGAAAUUGUUGAAAGGGAAGCGCUUGCAGCCAGACUUGCCUGUAGUUGCUCAUCCGGGUUUUUACCCGGUGCACUCUUCUAUAGGCAGGCCAGCAUCAGUUUGGGCGGUUGGAUAAAGGUCUCUGUCAUGUACCUCUCUUCGGGGAGAACUUAUAGGGGAGACGACAUGCAACCAGCCCGGACUGAGGUCCGCGCAUCUGCUAGGAUGCUGGCGUAACGGCUGU